GACGAACGCUGGCGGCGUGCUUAACACAUGCAAGUCGAACGGAAAGGCCCCUUUGGGGGUACUCGAGUGGCGAACGGGUGAGUAACACGUGCGUAACCUGCCCUUGACUUCGGGAUAACUUCAGGAAACUGGGGCUAAUACCGGAUAGGAAUCCUUGCUGCAUGGUGGGGGUUGGAAAGCUUCGGCGGUUUUGGAUGGACUCGCGGCUUAUCAGCUUGUUGGUGGGGUAGUGGCUUACCAAGGCUUUGACGGGUAGGCGGCCUGGGGGGGCGACCGGCCACAUUGGGACUGAGAUACGGCCCAGACUCCUACGGGGGGCAGCAGUGGGGAAUAUUGCACCAUGGGCGGGAGCCUGAUGCAGCAACGCCGCGUGCGGGAUGACGGCCUUCGGGUUGUAAACCGCUUUCAGCAGGGGCGAAGCUUGUGGUGACGGUACCUGCAGAAGAAGCACCGGCUAACUACGUG
rnacentral:rRNA from 1 species